GAUGAACGCUGGCGGCGUGCCUAAUACAUGCAAGUCGAGCGAACAGACGAGGAGCUUGCUCCUCUGACGUUAGCGGCGGACGGGUGAGUAACACGUGGAUAACCUACCUAUAAGACUGGGAUAACUUCGGGAAACCGGAGCUAAUACCGGAUAAUAUAUUGAACCGCAUGGUUCAAUAGUGAAAGGCGGUUUUGCUGUCACUUAUAGAUGGAUCCGCGCCGCAUUAGCUAGUUGGUAAGGUAACGGCUUACCAAGGCAACGAUGCGUAGCCGACCUGAGAGGGUGAUCGGCCACACUGGAACUGAGACACGGUCCAGACUCCUACGGGAGGCAGCAGUAGGGAAUCUUCCGCAAUGGGCGAAAGCCUGACGGAGCAACGCCGCGUGAGUGAUGAAGGUCUUCGGAUCGUAAAACUCUGUUAUUAGGGAAGAACAAAUGUGUAAGUAACUAUGCACGUCUUGACGGUACCUAACCAGAAAGCCACGGCUAACUACGUG
rnacentral:rRNA from 1 species